CGGGUGUAUGGCUGACCAGUGAAGCAAUCUGGAGGUGCAGAAGCCAACUGCAAAUCAUGACACAGCCAGGGUUUCACUAAGUUGUCCAAUCUGGCACUGAACCUAAUCUGGCACUGAACUUGUCAUCCUCCUGUGUCAGCCACCUUACAGAUUCUAGAUUCUCCAGGCUCUGAACAAGGACUCACACCAGAGACUCCUGGGAACGCUCUAGGGCUUCAGCCUCGGACUGUGACUACACCGGUGGUGGUGGUCCUUCUCAUCGUUCUAAGGCUCUGCCUUCUUGGGACUAAUCAGCUCCUGGUUCUCCAGCUCUCCAGCUUGCAAAUGCUACUUGGGGACUCUCUGGCCUCUGAGUUCGUGAGGCGAUCAGGUGGAUUCCCUCCAGUGCCUUGAUGUCCGUCAACCACCUGCCCCAAGAAGAUGCUUCCAAUUUCCUGCCUGGAAGGUGCACACCUGGGAGCCAAAGGGAAAGGAGUUUAGGGAUUUCAGCAUUCAUCACCUAAACAUCUGCUGGUUUUUAGUGCAGAAGCCGCUCUGCUCUCCAGGCAAUAAACCUCCAGUGUUCUGCUGGGGUAGAGGAGAGAUUGUCACCCAGGAGAGGAGGUCGGAGGUCAAGUAGCUCCUGGAACAGCCUUUCCACAGUCCUGGCUGUACCUGUGGCUGCCAAGUCCUGCUCCUUGGGGGUGCUCUGUGGAAAGGAGGGAGGGCUGUUGAUUUUUCCCACUUGCUGGCUUACCAUUUGGCUUCCUUGGAGUUGCCUGAGUCACUUGUGACUCCUCCAUCUGUUUUCCAGUUUCCAGUUUCUCUGUCCUUGCAGGCUUAUGUUCUCCACGUAUCUCUUCAUUGAUGCUUUGGGAAAGAAGCAGGACUGAUUCGCCUAUUUAAUCCACUGAUUUUGGAACAGUGCUUUGAUGAGCUGAUGCUGUUAGGGUUGAGAAAGAUUCGCUACAGCUGCAGCAGGGUGCUGGGCAUCCAGAUAGAGGUGAGGGCAGUGCAGAGGGCAGGCUGAACUGCUCCUCAUGAUGCUGGAGCAGAUCCUGAACUUCCUGAGAAGGGUGCGUGUCUGAGAAUGGGGAGAAG
rnacentral:lncRNA from 1 species